rnacentral:misc_RNA from 1 species
GUGGCAUCUCAAUAUGGGGAAUUUCUUUCAGAGGCCUAUCAGCGAAGUAUGCGUACAAAGCUCUUAAUACUGCCUGAUGAGAAAUCACUACGACAGGAGCUCGUUGCCUUUCAAGUUCAAUAAUCACAGGCUCUAGCCUUUGAAUGACAUCCAGAUAAGAUUCUCCUCGAGGAUACCGGUAUCUCAGCUUGUCCUUCUUACGAGACUCAUACUCCUCAGGCAUGUUCUUUUUUAUUUCUUCAUAAGUCAUUCCAUCACAUACUCCAGCAUUUAUCUCAUCAAGGGCACGCCAUUGAAUCUUAGGAAAUCCAACGAUUGGACUAGCUGUGAGAAUGGUUCUCUGCAGUGUGCUAGUCCAAAUAGAGGCAGCCUUCUCAGAUUUCAGUCGUUUUUCAACGAAGUUGGCAAGUUUCUUCGCAUAAAUUUCUCCAGCAUCACUCAAAACAGUGUCUCCACCAAUUCUGCCCCUAACAUUAUCCCGACUUUCUCCAUGCCUAGUAAGUAAUAUUGGGCGGGGUGUGAGAUGUGUAUUCACCAAGAAAAAGACAAUUCGUCCAGGAAGGUAGCCGCUGAUAUUGUUUACUUGUAUUUGUCCACCAUGUCCACUGACCAUAUCGAUCAUUUUGAUGUAGGAUCCUUCUUCCACAGGCUCAUAAACUUUCUCAUAAUUGGCCAGUCGAUCCUUGAAAUCUUGAUAUCCAGCUUCAUAAUCUGGCUGCUCAGCAUAGUCAGGGCUUUGUUGAAUUUU